rnacentral:lncRNA from 1 species
ACAGUGUGUCCUCACCCACCUAUACAUCAGGUCUAACGCCAUGUCUCUACUGAUUCUUUGCAAAGGGCAGCAGUAACAGUGGAACCAAAGACACUCACAAGCAAGGACUUCCAAAUUUGCUUUAAAAAGAGGCAAAACAGUAAGAUAAGAGUCUCUUCAUGGAGAUCUAGACCAAGACAACAACACUCAUCUAGUUAAAUACUUUGGCAAUAAAAUAUAUAAUG